GGCGAUGUAGCUUAGUUGGUUAGAGCGAUCGGUUCAUACCCGAUAGGUCAGCGGUUCGACUCCACUCAUCGCUA
rnacentral:tRNA from 1 species